rnacentral:lncRNA from 1 species
UACGGAGCAGUGGCUACCUUGACGUUCGUCCCUCUGGAGCUGCUGCACACACACAUACACUGACAUAUAUGUCAAGCUGCAGAAAAAAAAGGGAUCAAAACAGAGAGAGGGGGGGGGGGAUGGUGGAAGUGGAGAGGGCACUCACCUCCACCUUCGCACGACGGAUCCGAGGCGUCUCACCUCGAGCAGUCUUCUUCCUGGAGGUGCACGAACGCGAGGACGACGGUCCCGCGUUCCUCCAGUCGAUGGCGACGCCUGGACAGCGACCAGGAGGCGAUGCAGUGCGUGAAAGUUCGGACGGGGUCGG